rnacentral:rRNA from 1 species
UGCCAGACUCCUACGGGAGGCAGCAGUGGGGAAUAUUGCACAAUGGGGGAAACCCUGAUGCAGCGACGCCGCGUGAGUGAAGAAGUAUUUCGGUAUGUAAAGCUCUAUCAGCAGGGAAGAUAAUGACGGUACCUGACUAAGAAGCCCCGGCUAACUACGUGCCAGCAGCCGCGGUAAUACGUAGGGGGCAAGCGUUAUCCGGAUUUACUGGGUGUAAAGGGUGCGUAGGUGGCAGGGCAAGUCAGAUGUGAACGCCCGGGGCUCAACCCCGGUACUGCAUUUGAAACUGUCCAGCUGGAGUGCAGGAGAGGUAAGCGGAAUUCCUAGUGUAGCGGUGAAAUGCGUAGAUAUUAGGAGGAACACCAGUGGCGAAGGCGGCUUACUGGACUGUAACUGACACUGAGGCACGGAAGCGUGGGGAGCAAACAGGAUUAGAUACCCUAGUA